AUGCUUGGGACAAUUGUAAAACCAUGGCCGCGGUCUGUGCACAAGAGCAAGGAGGCGGUAUGCGUCCCAUAGCAUUCUUUUCCAAAGUAGUUCGAGCUCCGGUACAGGGUAUGCUGGCGUGUCUCAGAGCAUUGAUAGCAUGUGCAAUGGCUGUUGAAACUGCUACUACUAUCACACUAGGGCAUCCUACAAUACUUCAUGCAAGUCACCAGGUCACUCAGCUGACAAAUCUCACCACACAACACAUGACAGCCCAGCGCUUCAGUGGUUAUGAGAUUCUUUUUUUUAAUACCCAGAAUCUGUCUUUUGGAUUAAACAAGGUUUAGAGAAAGAUCAAAAUGAUCUGUUCUCUAAAGAGGGGAGAAUAGGCAUACUUGAAGAAUAG